rnacentral:rRNA from 1 species
AGUGAACGCUGGCGGUAGGCCUAACACAUGCAAGUCGAACGGCAGCACAGUAAGAGCUUGCUCUUACGGGUGGCGAGUGGCGGACGGGCGAGGAAUACAUCGGAAUCUACUUUUUCGUGGGGGAUAACGUAGGGAAACUUACGCUAAUACCGCAUACGACCUACGGGUGAAAGCAGUGGAUCUUCGGACCUUGCGCGAUUGAAUGAGCCGAUGUCGGAUUAGCUAGUUGGCGGGGUAAAGGCCCACCAAGGCGACGAUCCGUAGCUGGUCUGAGAGGAUGAUCAGCCACACUGGAACUGAGACACGGUCAAGACUCCUACGGGAGGCAGCAGUGGGGAAUAUUGGACAAUGGGCGCAAGCCUGAUACAGCCAUACCGCGUGGGUGAAGAAGGCCUUCGGGUUGUAAAGCCCUUUUGUUGGGAAAGAAAAGCAGCAGGUUAAUACCCCGCUGUUCUGACGGUACCCAAAGAAUAAGCACCGGCUAACUUCGUG